GGAGAUUUAGCUCAGUGGUAGAGUGCUUGCCUAGCAAGCAUAAGGCCCUGGGUUCGGUCCCCAGCUCCG
rnacentral:tRNA from 1 species